AUGCACGCUGCUUCACCCCCCUCCUGCUUUACCCCCGCGGGCCGCCAUUCGCUGAGCGCCCAGCCCGCCUCCCCGGCCUCUCACUGCCGGCCCUGCGCAUGUGUUGUAGGAGGGGGAGCGUUACCUAUACAAAUAACACAUUUUAAGAAGUCAAGCCUCAAGGAACUGUUAGGUGGAAAUAUGUCACUGCCUCAGGCUCCUUCAGUGAAUGAACAUGAGCUUUAACAACAGUUCUGAAGGAAAGCUGCAGAGAGCUGCUGGUAAAAGAACUUUCCCCUUUGUUCAUAUUUUCUGCCUAACCUUGAGAACCUCAGAUGUCAUUCUUUUAUUCCAUUCCUUUUGGACAAAUUUGGGCUGCUUUUGA
rnacentral:lncRNA from 1 species